GACAGAGGUGCCGAGCGUUAGGCGGAAUCACUGGGCUUAAAGCGUGUGUAGGCGGGCCGUUAAGUAUCUUGUGAAAUCCCCCGGCUCAACCGGGGAAUGGCUGGAUAUACUGGCGGUCUUGAGCAGUCUAGGGGCAGAUGGAACAGACGGUGGAGCGGUGAAAUGCGUAGAUAUCGUCUGGAACGCCAAAGGUGAAGACAGUCUGCUGGGGACUUGCUGACGCUGAGACACGAAAGCCAGGGGAGCGAACGGG
rnacentral:rRNA from 1 species